rnacentral:lncRNA from 1 species
AAAUUGCAAGUUUAGUCCUCCAAUUUUAAUUUACUGUAAUUUUUUGCUCGAACUUUCAGAAUUAUGCAAUAAAAUUUCACAACUCAAUUUAAUUAAUUAAAUACAACGCAUCGAUAAUAUAAAGGUGAAAUAUCAUCUUAAUUUAUUAGGUGCAUCAUCAAUCACAAUAAUAUUAUAUUACCUCUACGUUAGCGAUAUAUCAAUAAUUAGUCAGCUAAACUGAAUUACCAAACUUAAUUGUAAUGAUUUUAAAAAUUCGAACUAAAAAAUUAUAAUAAAUAAUAAUAUCAUUCAACUCAUAGUUUCAGGGCUAAGAGUCCAAUUUAUCCUUAAAAAGGAAUGAUAUAUUAUCAUAACUAAGAGGGGCAUUUUUGGUAUAUAAAAGUUUUGUCACAUUUAAGGAACUUUAAUUACUACACAUCAUGAUGUUGUAACACAAAAGCAAAACCAGUUCACAAGAAUCAUAAGAGAUGGUACCAAUCAUCAUAACUAAUAAUUAAAACUUCACAAACACUUCUUUUUAAUAUGGGAAAACUUUAAAAACCCCCCUGUAGUUUCGUAGUUUUUCAUUUUUUUCCCUAUGAUUUAAAAUGUACCCAUUUGCUCCCAUGUGGCUUUUUUUUUCUCUUUUUCUUAUCAAUUUCAUUAUUUUUUUUCUUAAAUCAGUGAUAAAAUUAAAAUUAAAGGGUACUAAAGUGAAUAUUUGAUAAAUCUAGAUAGGUAUCUGAAGUUUUUUGUAUAUAAUUUAAUAAAAUAUUAACGAAAAAGCUACCGAAAAGAUAAAAACGAAACCACAUAGGGGCAAAUUGAUACAUUUUAAACCACAGGGGGGCAAAGUAAGAAACUACGAAACCACAGGGGAGGUUUUUGAAGUUUUCCCUUUCAAUAUAGAGCUUUUAUAGUUAGGUCAAACGCGCCAAAAUUACCUGAGCUUUGACCCAUUUGCAAAUAGUCAAUUAAAUUUUUAAAUAUUUAUUUUUUUAAGGUUAAAUUACAUAAAUUUUUUUUUUUGUAAGUAUUAGUUUUUUUUUUAUUUUUUCUUUCUGACUUUUAAAAAUCUAUAUUUUGCUCUCUCUUAAAAUUUCAAAAAUAUUUUUAGCAGAGUACGGCGUUAAUGGAGAGGACAAAAUGACCAAAUUAUCCUUACUUCUUUCAUAAGAAAAAAAUAAUUUUUUAAAAUAUUUCUGUUAUUUUGAAAGAUAUUUUUGGUAUAAAUUAUAAAAAAUGGACGGAAUAGUGAUCGAAUUAUGAUGGAGGGAGACUAUAUGCAACAACUUGCAAUGUUGAAGGGGUAAAAUGAAAAUUUUUAAAAAGUUAAGGAGGAAAAGUGAAAAAACGGAUAUUUAUAAAAUGAUUUUAUAUAAUUUAGUUUUUUUAAAAAUAUUUUAAUAUUUUAAAUAACUGAUAUCAACGAAUUAAU